AUUUAUCAUCAUAAGCCCACCUAGCAGACAACUGUGAAUCUCCAUAUCUUGUAGAAAACCAAAAGGUUAAAAGAUUAACUUAUUAUUUCUAUAAGCAUCAUUAAUGUCACAACCUAAAAAGAAAGAAAGAGAAAAGGAAAAAUGGGGUCAAAUUUUAAUGUCUGGUAUAAUAACUCCAGAUCUCUAGAAACUUUUUUUUAAUGAUUCUUGCAGGUAUUCCUUAUAACCAGGUCUCAGGGUUGCCUUUGCUAGGGGUGAUUUUAUUAGCAGGGAUUUAGACAGAAAAGACUUGAGCCAGACUUCCACAGCCAUAACAGACCUUUGAGACAUCUUAUCUCCAAAGUCUGAGAAUUCCCUAGAGAAACAUGCUUCUCAUUCUAUGUCCUCUGAUAAGCUAAGGAAGAGAAAGUAAAAAAAAAAAAAAAAAAAAAAAAGACAGGGAGUAAAAGAAAAAAGGAAAGCAGAAAAAAAAGUCAUGUUUGUAACAUAUAAAUUAUUUUCAUAUGCAUUACUAAAAAUUCCCAGCUCUGCAAGAAUGGAUCAGUUCCAAGAAAGAUAGAGCUAUAAAACUGUAACGUCCACCUCAAGUCUGUCAGAGACCAAAACUCAGUUUAAUCUGAUGGUUGUUUGGUUGCCGGUUGGUUGGUUGGUUGGUUGGUUGGUUGGUUGGUUUUCCCACCCCACAAUCCUGCCACUGGUACCAUAACAUGGGACUCUAUAAAUGGAGGCCUACACAGUUGGAUCUUUCAGGACAGCAUUAAAUAAAAUAUUUAAAAGUGAAUGUGAGGCAAAGUUGGGAGGCA
rnacentral:lncRNA from 1 species